rnacentral:lncRNA from 1 species
UUAAGCUACAACAUAUAUUUUUCUUGUUAACGGAACUUCUAUUUUCUUUUAAUCACUUCUUGUUUACUAAGGAGUGGUUUUAGUUUUAGUCUAUUAUCUGAACAAGUCAUUAUUGCUGUUGUAUGCUUAAAUUUAUUAGUCAUGCUAGCCUGAUGAUUAUUAUAAGAACGGAGAUCUGAAAGGUGAUCUUUGUUGAAGUCUAAGUCUAAAACAGCUUGGGCUCCAAAGACAACUAUAUGCAGAUUUCUUUUAGCAUAUGAAGGCUUGCAUGUUCAAGUGUACUUUUUUUAGCAUAGUUCUUUUUCAUGACAAGGUUAUAUUGUAAAAUGAAGUUGUGCUAAUUUGUUAUCUUUUUUCUUUUGUUAACGAAAAUUGACCUGUUAGAAUAACAUGCAAGCAAUACAGAGGUUUGCUGGUGCAUGCUUUGCUGGUUGAAAUUUUAUCUUUUUCAUAAAUAGCUUGGUUUUGAAGUAUGCACUGUGAUCAUAGACUUGCACAUCGUGAAUUUUUUUUUAAUUUUAAGAGACUCUAUUGCUUGUAAUUUCUUGAUAUAGUAUAGAGCUUCAGGUAAACUGAAAUUCUUGUUUUAGUUCUGUGGAAGAAUAAUUAUGUUAUGUAUAUUUUUGUUCUUGAUUAAUAUUAGCAUUGUCAAUUUAUCUUAAUUUUGAUGAAAUCAUGGAUUUUAAUGUUUUUCUAGAGCAUGAUUGUAUGGCGCUUCUUGGGAGCUUGAGAGCGACGAUGUAUUACUUGCUCUCCUUUGUCUAUUCCCCUCACAUCUUCACUUAUAAAUUUUAUUCUCUCUAACGCUUUAUAAUUAUGUAGGAUUUGCAUUCAAAUUGAGAAAUUGGAACAUAUACAUACGUGUCAUGGAAAGAGAGGCUUAUGAUCAGGUUAAGAAGCCUAUAAGAUUCGAAUCAAGUUAUCUAUAAAAAUGUUAUGAUCCCUAGUCUUCAUAGAAAAUAAUUUGCUUAUCAUGGAAUGAAUUACAAAUUGCAUUGAUCUGAUAUGAUUUUUAACUUUGAUGUCAUAUAUGUGUCGAGGUGUCUCUAUUUGACCACCAAAAAGUCAAAAAAGAAAAAUCACCUUUUUGUUAAAAUCUAAAUAUAUGUGAGCUUUCUUAUCUUUGGACUAAGAUUAUUCUGUCGAGAUGAUAGUUGAAGUUAUU